rnacentral:rRNA from 1 species
UACGAAGGACCCAAGCGUUAUCCGGAUUUAUUGGGCGUAAAGGGCGCGUAGGCGGCCACGCACGUCCGUUGUGAAAUCGCCCGGCUCAACUGGGCGGGGUCAGCGGAUACGGUGUGGCUCGAGCAAGCUAGGGGGCAAUGGAAUUCCCGGUGUAGUGGUGGAAUGCGUAGAUAUCGGGAGGAACACCAGUGGCGAAGGCGGUUGCCUGGAGCUUUGCUGACGCUGAGGCGCGAAAGCGUGGGGAGCGAUCCGG